AUGUGCGGAGGUGAGGGGCCGGGUCUAGGGGAACCACACGCGGCUGUGCCUAGGGCUUCCUUUGUUCUGACGCCGGGAGGUCCGCGCUGCCUCCCAGAGGAGGAACCAGGCGAGAGCGGCUCACGGGGCUCACUGUCUUCGCUGUGUGCGCUAAGCUGGAUGCUCUGGAAAGUACCUGGUCUUACAGAGUUUGAACAAGUGUGUCUCCACUUUCUUGCUUUUGCAAAUAUGGUAUUGUGAGCCUCACCAUGUUUUCACAGAUGGUUAAGGAUUCUCCAGGUCUCCUGCCGACUCCUCUCUACAACAAGAUGCCUCAGGAUUGCAGGAACAGACUGCUCAGCAGAAUGGCUGGGAGCUCUCUGCUACGCCCUGGGAAAGAAGUAGAAGAUGGCCCAAGUCCUCGGGCCCCUGCACCCGCGUGGGAGACCCGAAAAAAGCUCCUGGCUUCGACCGGCACAGCUCUGGCCAUUGCGGCUAUUUGGGGAGUGAACCAUCGGAUGAAAGACCUCUUUCUCAUCUUUACUUAAUGUAUGCUAAACUGAUCUUCUGUAUAUAAAGAGAAUCGAAAAUGAAUCCUGAUGUGAAUGGAAGAGGAGAGGGAGUG